rnacentral:rRNA from 1 species
UUACACCGAAUGCUUGCAUUCACCGUAAGAAGUUGAGUGGCGGACGGGUGAGUAACACGUGGGUAACCUGCCUAAAAGAAGGGGAUAACACUUGGAAACAGGUGCUAAUACCGUAUAUCUCUAAGGAUCGCAUGAUUCUUAGAUGAAAGAUGGUUCUGCUAUCGCUUUUAGAUGGACCCGCGGCGUAUUAACUAGUUGGUGGGGUAACGGCCUACCAAGGUGAUGAUACGUAGCCGAACUGAGAGGUUGAUCGGCCACAUUGGGACUGAGACACGGCCCAAACUCCUACGGGAGGCAGCAGUAGGGAAUCUUCCACAAUGGACGCAAGUCUGAUGGAGCAACGCCGCGUGAGUGAAGAAGGUCUUCGGAUCGUAAAACUCUGUUGUUAGAGAAGAACACGAGUGAGAGUAACUGUUCAUUCGAUGACGGUAUCUAACCAGCAAGUCACGGCUAACUACGUGCCAGCAGCCGCGGUAAUACGUAGGUGGCAAGCGUUGUCCGGAUUUAUUGGGCGUAAAGGGAACGCAGGCGGUCUUUUAAGUCUGAUGUGAAAGCCUUCGGCUUAACCGGAGUAGUGCAUUGGAAACUGGAAGACUUGAGUGCAGAAGAGGAGAGUGGAACUCCAUGUGUAGCGGUGAAAUGCGUAGAUAUAUGGAAGAACACCAGUGGCGAAAGCGGCUCUCUGGUCUGUAAC